UACGUGAGAGGCAAGCGUUACUCGUCAUUAAUGGGUCUAAAGGGUGCGUAGGCGGCGCGGUAAGUCGGGUGUGAAAUCUUGGAGCUUAACUCCGAAACUGCAUUCGAUACUGCCGUGCUUGAGGACUGGAGAGGAGACUGGAAUUUACGGUGUAGCGGUGAAAUGCGUAGAUAUCAAGAGGAACACCAGUGGCGAAGGCGAGCCCCUGGACAACACCUGACACUGAGGCACGAAAGCUAGGGGAGCAAACAGG
rnacentral:rRNA from 1 species